rnacentral:lncRNA from 1 species
GACGUGGCCAGGCCAGGCUGCAGUGUGAGGUCAGAGGUCACCCCGCCCCCAGCCUGGUUCCUGGAAUGAGGACAGACUAAUCGUGUUGGAGCAGGGGACAGAAGCCACACUUUGGGGGCAUCUCCAGACCACCCAGCGGCCGGAUCUCGUUGGUGCCAGCUGGAGGUUGUGAAGGGGGGGUAACCAGGAAGGGGAAACUGAGGCACAGAGGCAGGAACGUUCCCCUCGGGGUGUAAGGCCCUCAUUCUCCAUCCCCUGCACAUUUAUGGAGCACCGCCAGUUUGCAGGCACUGAUGAACCCAGCCAGACCCCAGUCGGCUUGGCUGCCCCGGUCCUGGCCCCACAGACCCAGCAGCUGCGGCCGUCCCGCGGCAGCCCCAUCAUUACCUAUGCCAGUGGGGAGAGCAGCAGCCGGCUCUGGUAGCCCUCUGCUUUUGGAAGCGUCUCAGCCGCCGCCUCUCCAGUCUGGACUCUUGGCUGGCUCCGAAAAUCGGCUAUCAGAGGAGGGUUUGAGCUUCACCUCCGGGAGCCUCCCGCCCUCCUAGCAAGCACCUAGCAGGCGGCCCAGGGAGGUGGCUGGGCUCUGAGAGGCUAGGGGGUGGCUGGGCCCUUCCUGGGCUGGGGAGGAGGUGAGGGGCUGAGUCCAUCCCUGGCUGGGGAGGGAGGUGGGGGCCUGGGGAGGAGGUGGGGGGCUGAGUCCCUCCUUGGCUGGGGAGGGAGGUGGGGGGCUGAGUCCCUCCUUGGCUGGGGAGGGAGGUGGGGGGCUGAGUCCCUCCCUGGCUGGGGAGAGCUGGGGGCUGAGUCCCUCCCUCCCAGGCUGGGGAACUCAGAGGUGCACCCCCUCCCUGACUCCCCGCCUCUGAGGCCCUCAGCUGCGGGUGAACAAGCAGGGCCUGACGAUCCAGUUUGGGGUGGGGGCUUUCCCAGGGUUCUUCCCUCCUCUCCCUGGGGCCGGCGGGCUCCUCCAGGCAGUGAGUGGGACUCCAUCUCCGG